rnacentral:misc_RNA from 1 species
GAUGAAGAACGCAGCGAAAUGCGAAAAGUAAUGUGAAUUGCAGAAUUCAGUGAAUCAUCGAAUCUUUGAACGCACAUUGCGCCCGCCAGUAUUCUGGCGGGCAUGCCUGUCUGAGCGUCAUUUCAACCCUCAUGCCCCUAGGGCGUGGUGUUGGGGAUCGGCCAGCGCCCGCGAGGGACGGCCGGCCCCUAAAUCUAGUGGCGGACCCGUCGUGGCCUCCCCUGCGAAGUAGUGAUAUUCCGCAUAGGAGAGCGACGAGCCCCUGCCGUUAAACCCCCUACUUUCUAAGGUUGACCUCAGAUCAGGUAGGAAUACCCGCUGAACUUAAGCAUAUCAAUAAGCGGAGGA